rnacentral:rRNA from 1 species
UACGUAGGUCCCGAGCGUUGUCCGGAUUUAUUGGGCGUAAAGCGAGCGCAGGUGGUUUAUUAAGUCUGGUGUAAAAGGCAGUGGCUCAACCAUUGUAUGCAUUGGAAACUGGUAGACUUGAGUGCAGGAGAGGAAAGUGGAAUUCCAUGUGUAGCGGUGAAAUGCGUAGAUAUAUGGAGGAACACCGGUGGCGAAAGCGGCUCUCUGACCUGUAACUGACACUGAGGCUCGAAAGCGUGGGGAGCAAACAGG